UGUCUGAAGGUGAGGAUUGCCUCCAA
rnacentral:piRNA from 1 species